rnacentral:rRNA from 1 species
GACGAACGCUGGCGGCGUGCUUAACACAUGCAAGUCGAACGAAGAGCGAUGGAAGCUUGCUUCUAUCAAUCUUAGUGGCGAACGGGUGAGUAACGCGUAAUCAACCUGCCCUUCAGAGGGGGACAACAGUUGGAAACGACUGCUAAUACCGCAUACGAUCUAAUCUCGGCAUCGAGGAAAGAUGAAAGGUGGCCUCUAUUUAUAAGCUAUCACUGAAGGAGGGGAUUGCGUCUGAUUAGCUAGUUGGGGGGGUAACGGCCCACCAAGGCGAUGAUCAGUAGGCGGGCGGAGAGGAAGACGGGCCAAAUUGGGACGGGGACAGGGCCCAAUGGUAAGGGGGAGGAGGAAGGGGGGAUCCUGCAGAAAGGGAAGAAGGUCUAGGGGGGGACCGCCGGGUGGGGAAGGACGGCCUUCGGGUUGAAAGGAUUUGUUAAUGGGGAGGAAAGGCCUUUUGGCGAAAGGUUAGAGGGAUGGGCGGUACAGGAAAAGAAAGCCACGGCAAACUACGUG